rnacentral:rRNA from 1 species
UUGAUCCUGGCUCACAACGAACGCUGGCGGCGCGUUUAAGCAUGCAAGUCGUGGGGUAGAGCACCUUCGGGUGCUUGAGACCGGCGGACGGGUGAGUAACACGUAGGUAAUUUACCUGAGGGUUGGGGAUAGCCCAUGGAAACAUGGGGUAAUACCGAAAAUACGUCUUAUCUUACAUAAGUGAGAUAAGGGAAAGGUGCUUAGGCACCGNCCCCGGAUAAGCCUGCGGCUCAUUAGUUAGUUGGUGGGGUAACGGCCUACCAAGGCAACGAUGAGUAGCCGGCCUGAGAGGGUGAACGGCCACACUGGGACUGAGACACGGCCCAGACUCCUACGGGAGGCAGCAGCUAAGAAUCUUCCGCAAUGGACGAAAGUCUGACGGAGCGACGCCGCGUGUGUGAUGAAGGCGGAAACGUUGUAAAGCACUUUUCCUGGGGAAGAAUAAGGUGAGGAGGUAAUGCCUCAUCGAUGACACGAACUAGGGAAUAAGCCCCGGCUAAUUACGUGCCAGCAGCCGCGGUAACACGUAAGGGGCAAGCGUUGUUCGGAAUUAUUGGGCGUAAAGGGCGUGUAGGCGGCCUGGUAAGUCUGGUGUGAAAGACCGCAGCUUAACUGCGGGACCGCGCUGGAAACUAUCAGGCUAGAGUCUAAGAGGGGGAACUAGAAUUCCAGGUGUAGGGGUGAAAUCUGUAGAUAUCUGGAAGAAUACCGGAGGCGAAGGCGAGUUCCUGGCUAUAGACUGACGCUGAGGCGCGAAAGCGUGGGGAGCGAACAGGAUUAGAUACCCUGGUAGUCCACGCCGUAAAACGUUGUGCACUAGGUGUUGGCCCUAUUGGGUCAGUACCAGUAGCAACGCGAUAAGUGCACCGACUGGGGAGUAUGCUCGCAAGGGUGACACUCACAGGAAUUGACGGGGGCCCGGACAAGCGGUGGAGCAUGU